UGGGUUUGGCAAUUAUUCUGGAAUCUUGGGU
rnacentral:piRNA from 1 species